rnacentral:rRNA from 1 species
UACGAAGGGGGCUAGCGUUGUUCGGAUUUACUGGGCGUAAAGGGCGCGUAGGCGGCGUGUUAAGUCAGCUGUGAAAUCUCCGAGCUUAACUCGGAACGGUCAGCUGAUACUGUUGUGCUAGAGUGCAGAAGGGGCAAUCGGAAUUCUUGGUGUAGCGGUGAAAUGCGUAGAUAUCAAGAGGAACACCGGUGGCGAAGGCGGCAUCCUGGACCGAGAUUGACGCUGAGGCGCGAAAGCUAGGGGAGCAAACGGG